rnacentral:tRNA from 1 species
UCCCUGGUAGCUCAGCGGUAGAGCAUUCGACUGUUAAUCGAAUGGUCGCAGGUUCGAAUCCUGCCCGGGGAG